GCCAGCACUUCAACGCCUGAGUGUUAGCCAACAAUGGUCGCUUUCAAGCCCUGGCUCUGUUUCCAGUUCGUUUCCUGACUUAGGAUCAAAGAUUCAAGCCUCCAGUUCCUUCUCUAGACAAACUCCUAGCUGGCAGCUUCCUGGCUCUGCGAUCAACCAGCCACAGUCAUAAGCAAACCUUGUUCACCCUCCAAUGAGCUCCUGUGCAAGCCCCACCACCCAGCGCACCACGCCACCUUCUUCACACCAGGGACUAAGCUCAACUGGACAUCCCGGAAACCUCCUUCAAGCAUUUAUUGACCAAUUUACCUUGGAUAUAACCCUCCUCAGUUUCCUCUGGUCUCGUGUUCCCAGACUCCACAUCUCGUUCACCCUGGCGGUUCAACCAUCUCCUCCAGUAAGCGUUUCAUAUUACGUUACUAUAAUGGUCAUCCCAUCUCAGUAUCUACCUGUUUCCCCUUCUCUGUGCAGUUGGUGAUCUACCGUUCCUGGUUCUCUUGCCACUACUCAUUCCUGUGAAAAUAAAUCUCUUAAACAUCUGAAUAUUCUCCUGAUUGUAUUUCUGUACAUGGGUCAGAUCUGUUUCUACAAUCAUGACAGAGGUACUUGUUGGUUCCUUUUUAUUAUAAAAACAUUGUGAGUCUUUUUUGUCUGUGCUCAUUUUCACCAUCUGCUUGUAUUACAUGUUACCAAAUCAGAUUAGGAUUGAAGUCGGGACUCUGGCUGGGCUUAAUACUAUUCAGAAACAUGUUGCAAGGUCAAAAGAUUACUUUAAACCAAAGUCUGCAGGAAUAUAUGUCUAUGCUGCUAGAAAACUACCCCCUGUUGUUUUGGUACAAUUCCCACCUACUUAACCCAAGGCUUAAAAUGUUCCUUUUUGAUAAAGUAUAUUGUAACUGUGGCUUAGGUUUGCCUCAGCUGUCUCUUUAAUGAUGCUGCUAUAGGCUUAGGCUGCUGGAGGACAUACCAACCAAUUUUUCCCACACUGCUGUUUUCUCCUCCUACUCUCUAUUUAUUGAUUAUUUGCUGUUGUGGCUGCUAACUAUGUGUAUUUUUUUUUCCCAUGAAAAGUAAUCUUGGAGCAGUGCUUUGGUGUUUCCCUUCUUCUCCUUCCAGCCCCUAUGUGGUCACAACAGAUAUUUCUUCCUGAGCCAGGAUCUGCUGGCAGUUUAUUUCUGCUUAAAGGAAGUAGUUUCUUUCUGCUGUCGCCACAUGCUUGCUCAGGUUGAGAAAUUGACUAAGCUUCCUUACAUAAAUACCAUUUUAUCAACUGGCAUUAAAUCAUCAACUAAAUCUGACCAUUUUUUUAUUACAAAUUUGAAUGAAUCACACUAUUUGAUUCUAAGUAUGUGAUUACAUUGUAUUAGAAUGAAGUGGACUUAUUUGAACUGAAGUUGGUAUAAACUGGAAUGCAUAUCAUUGGAUGUUUAUUGGAGCUGUUUUUCUUGUAAAGUGCCUUUACAUUACCUUUAAAGUAAACUGGUGUUCUGUAAAUAUAAAUAAAUGAAUGAAUUGUUUCUUUG